UGAGGAAUAUUGGUCAAUGGGCGAGAGCCUGAACCAGCCAAGUCGCGUGAGGGAAGACGGUCCUACGGAUUGUAAACCUCUUUUGUCGGGGAGCAAUAAAGCGUACGCGUACGCAGAUGCGAGUACCCGAAGAAAAAUGCAUCGGCUAACUCCGUGCCAGCAGCCGCGGUAAUACGGAGGAUGCGAGCGUUAUCCGGAUUUAUUGGGUUUAAAGGGUGCGCAGGCGGAAAGUGCAAGUCAGCGGUCAAACGACGGGGCUCAACCCCGUCUCGCCGUUGAAACUGUCUUUCUAGAGUGAGCGAGAAGUAUGCGGAAUGCGUGGUGUAGCGGUGAAAUGCAUAGAUAUCACGCAGAACUCCGAUUGCGAAGGCAGCAUACCGGCGCUCAACUGACGCUCAUGCACGAAAGCGUGGUAUCGAACAGGAUUAGAUACC
rnacentral:rRNA from 1 species